CUGGGAACCCGAGGGCUCCCCCUGGCAGUUGGUUGCAUUGAAUGCAGAGGGGCCUAAAUCAGACAGAAUUGGUUAAUGCAGAUGGCGGCCAUGUUGGAUGUUGAGGCUUGAGGAGAUAAAAUCUACGAAGGGAUAGCUCGAAUGGGGCAUCGGGAACCGGAAUAUCGUGCUACAAAUUUUGAACGUGCGUGACCGAGAAAACGGUCACGGUCGUCUGGCUGGGCUCGCAUUCUAUGCGGCAGCCAUUUCUCUAGUGAUGGUCGUCCGAACUUGCGUGAAUCACGAUUAUUCCGCCCGUGGGGUCAGGAAUGUGCGUAGCAGAGAAGAGGUACUAGAUUUCUCACCCUCUUCCAUUAUCCAAAUUAGUGUUUUCUAAAUUCGGUCAGUCAUGGAACACUUCCCAUCUCGUGAUAUGUACAGGAGGAGAUAGACAAAUGUGUUCCAAAGAAGGAAGAAGACUGGAUGGUGUCGCUACUCACUACUUUCAAUCGGAUCGGCCAAGGCGGGCGUCUAGUGGCCGUCUUGCGAUCGUUUCUGUGUUCCUCGAUGUUCGAAAACUACCGCCACGCUGUCAAGACUCCAGUGACGUGUGCGAACGGAAAUAAUUUAUUCCUCUUAAUCUAUGUCAGAGCCGCCAGACGAGAAACACCUGGCAACCUAUCGGCGGCGCGGUCGUUUCCUCGACUACUUUUCGCGAUGACACUUUGAACGCCACGCCGAUCACGGAAACCACAACGAAUCCCCCCUCCGGCGGGACGAUAAUCGCCCAAGUUCUCGUUCAUGCAAGCUUCGAAAUCGGAGUCGAGAUCGCACUCUUUCGUUGAUGAUUCAAGUAGUGCACACGCGUUUCUGGUCGGACUGGUCGCGGAGCAGGUAUUCCAACUCGCGGGCCAGGCGAAAGAAUGUUCGAAAUACGUCUCGCGAACGUCCAAUUCAAGGCUGAAAUAGAUCCAGUCCGUAGCCACGCACCGAACAGCACUGUGACUUAAUAUUUCAUACGUCGAGAGAUGAUAUAUCGUCGGAGACCAAAUUCUUGUGAAUGGAAAAUUCUUACGCAAAUAAAAAUACAAUAAACUGUCCACUAGUUGCUCGUUAAAAGAACGAAAUCGCAGAAAUAUUUCACAAUUCGUAACUAAACGCGUAAUCGUCCAAAGAUCGUUACGAAUGAACGUUAGAUUCGUUAUCUAUUCGGAUAAAGCAUCGCCCAUCUCUGUUCUCAGCGGUGAGAGAAGAGCACCUAGCCAAUGACGCGUCGCGGCGAGCACUGUGUUCUAAAAUACGUUUGCAACUCCAUGAAGUCUCCACCACGCGAGAAUUCGAUUCUUCCCCGUGCAACGAUCAAUCAUCGCUGCGAUAAUAUUACCGGAUCCGCAAUACGAGUACCGUGAGCUGGUGUGUUGAAAACUGACAAGGUAGCUGGCCACUGAAAAGUCCCAACGAUAACGGUAACAGGUGCGCGUGUGUUUAUCACGAGGAACUGUUUCAAGUCGUACGCACCUUGGCGUUCGUACGCGACACACCGAAAUGUCGAUCAAUGACGGGGGGAACCACCAUUCAGAUCGAUAGAAACGAUUUCAUUGAUUCCCUAACCAUCGGCACGGUCACGCGAUUCGCGGUGAAAUUCUUACCAGAUACAGAAACGCGAUAUCAACGGUGAUCUCAUUUGUUUUUUUUUUGGGGGGGGGGCGAGAGAGAGAGAGAAUAGAUGAUCGAGGCUUCUCUGGAAAUCCUAAAUCCAUUUUUAAGAUUAGCUAACAGUGCGUCACAAUAUUUCACGAUAGUGUCGAGUUACCUUGGGUACAAACGAAGUGGACGAAAGGUUUCGUUAAAUUUUUUCUUAAUUACAGAAGAUCGACAGAGGUUCACCCAGUUCUUUCCAUGUAAAUUGGAGUGACGUGUCUGUAUGUUUUUCUGAAAGUGAAGUUUAGGAAUGGGAACGUUUACCGAAUGAGUUGAGUGGUAUAUAUAACCUCGUCAAGGGUACUGGCGCAUACUUCAACAUUUAGUUUCUCGGUUAUUUCAAACGCAGCGACGCGUGAUCGUUAAAAUUGCAAAUGAAUGUUCAUAAUUAGAUUCUCCAAUAAUAUUACGAGGCAAUAUUGUAGCAAGGCUGACGGAUAUAACGUGUCCGAUGCCAAUCAGAAUUUUAAUUUACUUUGUACGAAACAAUUCGUCGUUGAGGAGAUUAAAACGACGCAGGACAAACACAUCCCUGAAGUUACUCAGUGCUGGGUACAAUCCAUCAACAUGGACGGAUGUCCGACUUGUACAUGAUUCUUUUUUUGUUCAUUUUUCCUUUGGAAAAGGUUGCGUUAGAGCGUUGGAAAAAUAACCCGACAAUUUGAAACAGUGACGAGACUCCUUUUCACGGUUGGGUUCGCACAGUAGAAUCCAUCAGGGCUAAUUAAUCGCAAUGAAUCGAGUAAUUGAUGAUUCAGAACG